UUAAACCAUGUGGUAUUCUUCAUCUUCUUCUUCCAUGGACAACAUGGACGACAUGACCGUGUAUUACCCACCAUCGCCGUCGGUCUCCACAAGUCUCACUGCCCAAAUUAACCUCCAACGCCGGCGCCACCUCUUGGGGCGGCUGCAGGACCCCACCGCCGCUUCCUUAUCAGGUUGACCUGCCUCAGCAAUACCAGCCGCAGCUCCGUUCGCUCAGUAUGGUACGCGCCGCCCUCAACUUCAAGAAGACGUUCGAACCCUUUACAUCUCAGGGCUUUCCAAAGACGUCAAACCUCGCGAUAUUUACAAUCUCUUUUGGGCAUUCCUUGACUACCAGUCUUCCCAGCUCAGGAGCUCUACCCAAAAUUCACAGGCUUUUCCUUUUGCUGUUUUUCCUGGUCAAACAGUCCACAAUUGCACCAAUGCUUUCAUUGAAUGGACUGGUGUUUGACCUUGUGGAGUCAACUUUUUAUAUAAAUCUUGCAAAAUCAAAUUCGAGAUCUACGUUCUCAAGAAGAGGUCUAUUGCAAGUUGAAUUAGCCUUUAUACUUUUCUUGUAGGGACUGGUGUUUGACCUUGAGAAGGAGUCAACUUUGUAUAUAGAUCUUGCAAAAUUGAAUUCGAGAUCUAAGUUCUCAAGAACAGGUCUAUUGCAAGUUGAAUUUCUUCCACUUAAAAUUUUCCUAUUUUCGCUUUCAUUUAAAAGAAGAAUCUUUACCAAUUAUGUUUGUUGAAGCUGUUCUAAAACUAAGAAACAGAUAAUGGAAGAGCUGGUUCUUCUGAAAAGAAAGUUAGGGAGUGAUGUGCUAUUAUGCUGCAAUUCCUGGAGGAAUUCCCGACUCUGGUUCUAUUAGAAGGAAUGGUUGUUGAUCUCUUUGGUUGCUUGCUGGAGUUCAUAGGUUGGCGAUUCAGUCAUGUCUCUUGAAGUUGCCAUCCUUUCUGAAGUCAGGUGAGAGGAAACAUCCCAAUAUCACCCUAAUCUGGUUCUUCCCCUUUGAAGUCGUGAGGUUGAAGACGAUAGUCCUCUUCCUUUUCCUCCAAUUUGUUGCUCUUUUUAUUUACCACUUUCCUUCUUUACCCCUCCUUUUGCUUUUAAAUCAGCACUUUUAUUUUAUUUUAUUUCCUUAUUUCUUCUUCCCAUAUUAAUGCCCCCCCUUUACCCUUUUAUUUACAUCUUGCCAUUGAGUGUUUUGCGAGGAUUACCCUUUGCACUACACAUACACCACACUCCUUUGCCUCUUUCUCUUAAAUUGAAGUUUUCAUAUUAUUGCCCCCUCCUUUCUCCUCUUAAUUACUUAUUUGCGAUUAUAUUUGGUCACUUCCUAGUUUACCCUUUGACCUUGGAUUGUGAUUUUAAUUGAAGUUCCCUUUUAUUGCUAAAUUGCCAUCCCACUUUGGAACUUUGAUUAUUACAAAAGUGUCAUUCCCCUUUGCAAUUUCAAUUUAUUUACCAUCCUGCCAUUCUCUCAAAGACUUCAACCUAUUUAGGGUACUGCCACUCCCUUGUAAGAUUGAGGGAUUUACAAAUUUGCCAUUUAAUCUUGGACAUUUUGAUUAGUUAUGGUUCUGCCAUUACCCCCUUGUUAUUGCCUAUUAUGAACUUGGAUGGGUCUAUACCAAACCCAAUUGAGUAUUUUGACCCAGGUUCCGCAUUAAUUGGGGAUUGCAUGAAGUAAUCACAGAAUUGCCAUUGGGCAUAUGCAUGUGCCAUAUUAUUGCUUUGGUGGGCCCGAAAUCACAUCUUUGGGCUUGACAGUGUUUUUGGCACUGGUAUUGGCAUGUCUCGGUGCUUGGAGAUUGUUUGUUCCGUUUUGUAGCCGUGAGGGGGAGUUGGAAAUUAUUUAAUGCUCUUGGUUAAGAGAUUCCUUGGGAUUCUAAUUAUUGGAAUUAUUUGUUCACGUGUAAUUCUACACGUGAGGGGGAGAUUGGAGAUUUUUAUCUAUUGGAAUUAUUUGUUCACGUGUAAUACUACAUGUAAGGGGGAGAUUGGAGAUUUUAUCUACUCUGCACAAUUCAUCAAUUGGAGAUUAUUAUCAGUGAAGACUAUUUCUCUAAUCGUGUCUUCAAUAACAAUUUUAGCUUUUGAAGGGCAACACUAAUGAAGCGAUAUCUUAAGAUGAGGUGAUCUCUUAAGGAUCUAAGUUGCUGUCCUCCAUCUUUACCUUUGUUAGAGCAUGAUUGGUGCUUUUGAAGAUUGGCUGUCCACCACUCCACCUUGUGUGAUUGAAUUGAUUCAUUUCUUUGAAGAUCGAGUUCUUCCCUUAUAUUGAAUAUCGUGUCUUCCCCUAUUGAAAAUCAACUUUCGCAAUUAUAGGAUAGCAUUUGUCAUUGUAACUUGUCUGCUGCUACGGUAUUUUGGAUUGCGGUUGAUGAUAUCUACUCUUUUUGCGAUUUUUUUAUUCUUCCUUUUGGAGAAUGAGUCUUCCUCAUACAUUAAAGAUCAAGUCUCAUCUUUACCGUCCACUUUGUUCGUUGCUGGUGCUUCGACACGACCUUUUUUAUCUACUGAUGCUACUGAUGUUGGUGUGCUUGAGUUGAUGUCACUAUUGAUUUUAUGGUGGUUGAUUGAAGUUCCUACUGUUUAUUGGAGCCAACAACUAAUAUUUAAGAUUGGUGAUGCAUUUGAUUUUCUAUUCUUGUUGGCUAGAGUCUUUCUUUUGAUACAUGUAUACUCCAGCUUGAGGGGGAGUGUUGGAAUAUGUAUCCACGAUAGGGGGGGGGGAGUGUCCCCAUUGUGACAUGGUUAUCUUAGUUACUUUCCAAGAUAGAUUGGGUUGCUUACUUUCCGAGUUAGACUAGAUCUCUAGUUUCCUAAAUUAGAGUUAGGCUAGGAUUGUCUUUUCCAUUCCAACUAUGACUGUACUUGGAUUUACUUAUUAUAAAUAUAUAUUAUGGAGGAAGACUGCUAGACGCCUAGACACAUCGGCUGCCCCUCUCCCUUGCCGUCUCUCUUCUUCUUCCUCAUGUCUCUUCUCUCAAGUUACUGGUUAUAGAUCUUUGGUUUUCUACACUUGGCAUCCUUUAUCUCUUUGGAUGCAUCUAUUGAUUUAUUGAACACAAUCCUACCAUCACAGUAGACCAUGAAGUUGAUGAUGGACUGUCUAAUGGGUCCAGUCCAACCAUCACUUAAACAAUCACACCUUAGUCUGCCCAUGUCCCCUUGAGGGUCUUAACAUACUCCUCAAGCUCCAGUCUCUACUAUGGCAAAUAGACAUUUAUGAGCUUGUAUACAGUGAAGCCCUUCACUCCUUUUCCAGCCCUCUGUACAAUGGAGCAUAUUCUGAUAGUAGACUCCCUCAGAUGAAUGUAUUGGAUUGCUGUGGUAAAAGACCACUUUGACACAGUGUCCCCACUUGACCUUUCUAAUUGGGUUGCAAGCGAUUUAGCUUCUGUCUAUUGCUUUGGGUCUUGAAAACUAUAGGAUCCUACACAAGGAUGCCUAUGACAUCCUCAUCUAUCGGGUUGGGGCUCUCCUCACACUUUGUGAUCCCCAGUAGGGCAACUCUGUUUGCUUCUAUUUCUUCCUCCCCCAUGUCUACCCCUGUGUAGAAGAAUCAAUACCACUAGCCUCUAUCGUAGUUUCUCUAGAAGAACCAACUCCACUCCCUAUCUCUCUUAACCUACCUUGCUCCUACAUAUGUGCCACUCAGUUCACUGCCUUAGCAAGUUGUAUUUCUCUCGCCUCUACUUCUGUCUCUACAUCACCAGGCAUGUAAUCCUUAUCAGCAUUAGAAUCAAAGUCAUUCCCUAUUGUUGGCGGUCUCUCCAGCACUUUCCUUUUGCUUAUCCAUCCUCCUCUUUAUUUGUCCCUUCAUGAGGGCAACAUUGCCUUCUACACCUUGCUAGGGACCCUGGGGCAUUUGGCCACAUCUUUGUGUCCCCUAGCCAGAUGUUACUUCAGUGUAGUGGCUCCACCUCCCUUCCCAUAGUAAUUAUGUUAUGCUUUUUUUAUGUCAUUUCCAAUAGGUACGCUAUGCCUCUAUGAUACGUCUUCUCCCUCGUCUCCCUGAUUAUGUAAUCUUUUUACAUCGUUGAAACAAAAAAUGCUACAUUAUUAAAUUUUUAUAUCAAUUAAACCUCAUAAGACCUAUAUAUCAUAAUUUUUUACCCAACUCAUAAAUUUUUUUUUAAUAAAAAUAUUAAUGCUCAAAUUAACUCGUAUGGAACGACACAUUAAUCACCACUUUUCAGUUGAAAAGU